rnacentral:rRNA from 1 species
GACGAACGCUGGCGGCGUGCUUAACACAUGCAAGUCGAGCGGUAAGGCCCUUUUGGGGGCACACGAGCGGCGAACGGGUGAGUAACACGUGGGUGACCUGCCCUCAGCUCUGGGAUAAGCCUGGGAAACUGGGUCUAAUACUGGAUAUGACCUUUCCUCGCAUGGGGUUGGGUGGAAAGUUUUUCGGCUGGGGAUGGGCCCGCGGCCUAUCAGCUUGUUGGUGGGGUGAUGGCCUACCAAGGCGACGACGGGUAGCCGGCCUGAGAGGGCGACCGGCCACACUGGGACUGAGACACGGCCCAGACUCCUACGGGAGGCAGCAGUGGGGAAUAUUGCGCAAUGGGCGGAAGCCUGACGCAGCGACGCCGCGU